GCCCGGCUAGCUCAGUCGGUAGAGCAUGAGACUCUUAAUCUCAGGGUCGUGGGUUCGAGCUCGAGCCCCACGUUGGGCG